rnacentral:lncRNA from 1 species
AUCUUGUUCGAAAAAAGAUGGAUGGUUAUUUUGGUCAACUUGUGUUCAUGCAAUGAAAGCUACCUAUAAUAAUUUUUCAAUCAUUGACUCAUGCAAAAAAACUUAGACUUAAAAGAGUUAAAGUAACUGGAGAUAAAGAAGUAUGUGCAGGAUUUAAUUUCACAACUAAAGAGGACUCCAAAGAAGAAUUAAAGUUCUGGUGGAUCAAAUAUCGAGGAAUGAUUUGGUUUUAACUGGUUUUCAUCUUAUGAACGAAGUACAUAAUAUGAUUUAAAUUAAUGAUUUAU